GGCCCAAAUUUGAAGUAGAGAAGAUAAGAAAGAUAAUCUGACCCUGCUUGGCUAGUCUACUUCGAGUUUGUGCCC
rfam:Haemonchus contortus, ISE/inbred ISE, WGS project CAVP01000000 data, contig: Hcontortus_37662